GACUGCGGUUUCUACCUGGACGUGGAAGAAAAAAAAAAUCACAAAUCCAUCUCAAGCUUGAGGAAGAGCAGGUGGUCGUCGGCUGCUAACAUAUUCCAACCUCCAACACUCGUACCCCAUCAUGAGUCUACAAUCCAAGAACAAACUGUGCGGGUGAAGUGUGGAAGUAGUUCAGAAUAUCUUCUCAAAACUGGAAGUAUGCAAGAAUCGGACAAAAAAGAAACGAUGAAGAAAAAAAAAACCGUUACAUGACCAAGAAAUAAUGAAUCAAAACCAACCGAAUUCUGUGGCUUUCACAACUGCUUCGCCUCAAGUUGCUGUUGUUGCACGCGCCGCCGCGGCUGAUUCCGGUGGGGGCGGCUCCGGCUACCUAUUCUACACUAUACACGUACAUAGCUCCAAAUCCAAACUCCAAAAAGCACAAGCAUAAAAAUCGUAUCUACUAGACAUGAUCUCUCUUUCGCCCCUUGGUUUGCCUACUGCUUCUCUCUCUAAAAUGUAGUGUAACACACUCAAUCUCAAGUUCUGUUGUGGAUAGGAUCCGAUCCUCUCCGAACUUUCCUCUUGCUCGAAUGGUUUGGAUCGAAUGUUGGGCCCAAAGCAGGUGCCUUGUUGCCCGUAGGCAGCGUGUUCGUGUUCGUGUUUGUGUCGGCUGCCAUGAGCACGCGAUGAAGGCGGCUGCCGCAGGCUUCUUGAGGAUGGAAUGCUAACAAUCCUACACAUAUCAACACCAAAAUUGACCUGUGAGUGCACAAAAUCAACAUAGCUUAGGUGCUUGUGUAAAAUUUUUGAGUUGUAUGAUUGUGAUCCAUCCAAAACCAAUUCUUAUAGGAUUUUUGGAGGGUGAUUUUAAAGCAUAAAGCAAGGAGAGGGCCCCCAAUCCAUAUAAGAGUUUUUGGAUUCACCCUCAAUCAUAUAUCUCUAUGCUAACAACUAAGGCUGUUUAUUUAUUGAGAGCCAAAAAAAGGAGAAUCUAAAGGUGAUUGGAAUGCAACACUUACACCACCCUCGAGAAGCUAAGCAUCUUUUUCUCACAUCAUUUGCUCUGCUUUUGUCUUCUUCAACAAAGACCAUUCCUGGUCCAACUCGGCAGCCACGUCAGCAUCCCCCCGCUUACGUGGCUGCACUUUUGUGACAUGUACUAUAACUCUGUCGGAAUAUCAUGCAUGAUUAUGAUUUUCAACUUUAUGAGAUGCUUA